rfam:Salmo salar isolate Sally breed double haploid chromosome ssa12, whole genome shotgun sequence.
CUCCCUGUGGCUCAGUUGGUAGAGCAUGGUGAUUGCAACGCCAGGGUUGUGGGUUCGAUUCCCACGGGGGGC